ACCUAACUGGGGUAGCUCAGUCGGUAGAGCAUGAGAAUCUUAAUCUCUGGGUCGUGGAUUUAAGUCCCAUGUUGGGCA